rnacentral:rRNA from 1 species
AGAGUUUGAUCCUGGCUCAGGAUGAACGCUAGCGGGAGGCUUAACACAUGCAAGUCGAGCGGGAUUUACCUUCGGGUAAUGAGAGCGGCGCACGGGUGCGUAACGCGUAUGCAACCUGCCUUGUACAGGGGGAUAGCCCAUGGAAACGUGGAUUAAUACCUCAUAGAAUUGUUUAAUCGCAUGGUUUAACAAUUAAAGCUUUGGUGGUACAAGAUGGGCAUGCGUAGGAUUAGCUAGUAGGUGAGGUAACGGCUCACCUAGGCAACGAUGGCUAGGGGUUCUGAGAGGGAGAUCCCCCACACUGGGACUGAGACACGGCCCAGACUCCUACGGGAGGCAGCAGUGGGGAAUUUUGGACAAUGGGCGAAAGCCUGAUCCAGCCAUUCCGCGUGAGUGAAGAAGGCCUUCGGGUUGUAAAGCUCUUUCGGCAGGAACGAAACGGCGGAUAUUAAUACUAUCCGUUACUGACGGUACCUGAAGAAGAAGCACCGGCUAACUACGUGCCAGCAGCCGCGGUAAUAC